GAAAGGCGUAGGUGAUGGACAACAGGUUGAUAUUCCUGUACUACCGAUAACCGUUUGAGAGAAGGGAUGACACAGUAGGAUAAGCUAAGCACACUGUUGGUUAUGUGUGCCCAAGCAUUGAGGCAGUCAAAGUAGGCAAAUCCGCUUUGAUAAUGCUGGGAUGUGAUGGGGAGCGAAAUUUAGUAGCGAAGUAGCUGAUUUCACACUGUCAAGAAAAGUCUCUAUCGAGGUUAAAGGUACCCGUACCGCAAACCGACACAGGUGGGUGAGGAGAGUAUCCUAAGGCCAGCGAGAGAACUGUUGUUAAGGAACUCGGCAAAAUGACCCCGUAACUUAGGGAUAAGGGGUGCCACCAUCAGGUGGCCGCAGAGAAUAGGCCCAAGCGACUGUUUACCAAAAACAUAGGUUUCUGCUAAGUCGCAAGACGAUGUAUAGGAGCUGACGCCUGCCCGGUGCUGGAAGGUUAAGGGGAUCUGUUAGAGUAAUCGAAGCAGUGAACUUAAGCCCCAGUAAACGGCGGCCGUAACUAUAACGGUCCUAAGGUAGCGAAAUUCCUUGUCGGGUAAGUUCCGACCCGCACGAAAGGCGUAACGAUUUGGGCACUGUCUCAACAACAGACUCGGUGAAAUUGUAAUUCCGGUGAAGAUGCCGGAUACCUGCGACAGGACGGAAAGACCCCAUGGAGCUUUACUGUAGCUUGACAUUGGGUCUUGGUACUACAUGUACAGGAUAGGUGGGAGGCUUUGAAACCAGGACGCCAGUUUUGGCGGAGCCAUCCUUGGGAUACCACCCUUGUAGUACUGGGACUCUAACCAUAGGCCAUGAAUCUGGUCUUGGGACACUGUCAGGUGGGCAGUUUGACUGGGGCGGUCGCCUCCCAAAAGGUAACGGAGGCGCUCAAAGGUUCUCUCAGUACGGUCGGAAAUCGUACGUAGAGUGUAAAGGCAAAAGAGAGCUUGAUUGCAAGACAUACAGGUCGAGCAAGGAUGAAAAUCGGACUUAGUGAUCCGGUGGUUCUGCGUGGAAGGGCCAUCGCUCAACGGAUAAAAGCUACCCUGGGGAUAACAGGCUUAUCUCCCCCAAGAGUCCACAUCGACGGGGAGGUUUGGCACCUCGAUGUCGGCUCAUCACAUCCUGGGGCUGUAGUAGGUCCCAAGGGUUGGGCUGUUCGCCCAUUAAAGUGGUACGCGAGCUGGGUUCAGAACGUCGUGAGACAGUUCGGUCCCUAUCCGUCGCAGGCGUAGGAAAUUUGAGAAGACCUGUCCUUAGUACGAGAGGACCGGGAUGGACG
rnacentral:rRNA from 1 species